rnacentral:rRNA from 1 species
AUGAACGCUGGCGGCGUGCCUAAUACAUGCAAGUCGAGCGAACAGACGAGGAGCUUGCUCCUCUGACGUUAGCGGCGGACGGGUGAGUAACACGUGGAUAACCUACCUAUAAGACUGGGAUAACUUCGGGAAACCGGAGCUAAUACCGGAUAAUAUAUUGAACCGCAUGGUUCAAUAGUGAAAGACGGUUUUGCUGUCACUUAUAGAUGGAUCCGCGCCGCAUUAGCUAGUUGGUAAGGUAACGGCUUACCAAGGCAACGAUGCGUAGCCGACCUGUGAGGGUGAUCGGCCACACUGGAACUGAGACACGGUCCAGACUCCUACGGGCGGCAGCAGUAGGGAAUCUUCCGCAAUGGGCGAACGCCUGACGGAGCAACGCCGCGUGAGUGAUGAAGGUCUUCGGAUCGUAAAACUCUGUUAUUAGGGAAGAACAAAUGUGUAAGUAACUAUGCACGUCUUGACGGUACCUAAUCAGAAAGCCACGGCUAACUACGUG